CGCUGAUGGAUGGACCCGCGGUGCAUUAGCUAGUUGGUGAGGUAACGGCUCACCAAGGCCACGAUGCAUAGCCGACCUGAGAGGGUGAUCGGCCACAUUGGGACUGAGACACGGCCCAAACUCCUACGGGAGGCAGCAGUAGGGAAUCUUCGGCAAUGGACGAAAGUCUGACCGAGCAACGCCGCGUGAGUGAAGAAGGUUUUCGGAUCGUAAAACUCUGUUGUUAGAGAAGAACAAGGAUGAGAGUAACUGUUCAUCCCUUGACGGUAUCUAACCAGAAAGCCACGGCUAACUACGUGCCAGCAGCCGCGGUAAUACGUAGGUGGCAAGCGUUGUCCGGAUUUAUUGGGCGUAAAGCGAGCGCAGGCGGUUUCUUAAGUCUGAUGUGA
rnacentral:rRNA from 1 species